UGAAAGCCAAUGGCGCGAAGCUACCAUCUGUUGGAUUAUGACUGAACGCCUCUAAGUCAGAAUCCUUGCUAGAACGCAACGAUAAUUACCUCCGGAGAAUCUUAGGCGAACAAGGAUAGGUCCUGCAGAAUUCAGGGGUUAAUGUGGGGUUUUAGACCACUUUUUAACCAGAAUAUUUCAAGAGGGGUGGUGGUAUUAACUGUUUUUGACUCUUAACUUGGAAACAGGCUUUUAUUAAAGUUUAAUCCCCCAACCUUCCCUGGGACCAUGGGUGUGGGGGUAUCAAAUGACUAGUGAAUAAGAACAUCCUACUGUUCUCUUCAAGACAUGAUUUUUAAUUCUCAUGU
rnacentral:ncRNA from 1 species